AUUGAACGCUGGCGGCAGGCCUAACACAUGCAAGUCGAGCGGAUGAAGGGAGCUUGCUCCUGGAUUCAGCGGCGGACGGGUGAGUAAUGCCUAGGAAUCUGCCUGGUAGUGGGGGAUAACGUCCGGAAACGGGCGCUAAUACCGCAUACGUCCUGAGGGAGAAAGUGGGGGAUCUUCGGACCUCACGCUAUCAGAUGAGCCUAGGUCGGAUUAGCUAGUUGGUGGGGUAAAGGCCUACCAAGGCGACGAUCCGUAACUGGUCUGAGAGGAUGAUCAGUCACACUGGAGCUGAGACACGGUCCAGACUCCUACGGGAGGCAGCAGUCGGGAAUAUUGGACAAUGGGCGAAAGCCUGAUCCAGCCAUGCCGCGUGUGUGAAGAAGGUCUUCGGAUUGUAAAGCACUUUAAGUUGUGAGGAAGGGCAGUAAGUUAAUACCUUGCUGUUUUGACGUUACCAACAGAAUAAGCACCGGCUAACUUCGUG
rnacentral:rRNA from 1 species